rnacentral:lncRNA from 1 species
GUUGACUGUUUUUUUUAGUGCCAUUCUGUGCUUGAAUGUUUUCUGACAAGCACUCCUAUGUAGGAUUUUUUAGUGCCAUUUGCUUGAAUGUUUUCUGACAAUUACUCAUGUUCAGGAUUCUAUAGAGAUUUAUCGAUACAUACUCGCAAGUUAAUGGAAAAUGAAAUACUUUUCUGGCUUUCUCUUGCAGGAAAUGAGAGAAGGUAGGAAAUGUAUAGCAACUUCCAUUUGCUGUCAGCACGCACCUUGAUUUAUUGGACACAUGAUUCAUCCAAUCUGGGUAUCACGUUGAUCUUUGGUUAAACUUGCAUGUGCUUCCGUUCCUUGAUUUUGGAUGGAGGGUUUGCGGCAUUUCAUUUAUUGAUGCCAAUUUGUAUUUGCAGGACUUUUCAAGAGGUGGGCAGUUGUUAAUAUAACCUAUUUUCAAUUUUAAUUUCUUCAACCUUGAUCUGGAAGGUAUUUUCUUUAAUAAUGUAGUAAAAAAUGAUGGAAUGCCAUGUUAGAAUUGCUUGGAUUACUUCUAAGUUCGAUUUAGAUUAGUCAUGUGCAAGGGUACAAAUUGGAUUAUUCGUAGGUCAUGUUUAUAUCAUAUAUGUGUCCAUAACUCCUGAAAAUACAGGCCUACGAGGCAUUAGAAUAAGCUCUUGCUUCCUUUCGACCAGCCAUUCGCAUCCAAAAGAACCCAACCAGGUCCCUCACCCUGUACUAAAAAAAAGGUUAAAAUGCUUUGAUCAUUAAUUUAAACCUAGCACCAACUGACAUAGAAGAUAUGUCUUCGUCCAAUUUUAUAUUGAUUCAAACUCUUUUUUUUUUGCUUAGGCCACCAACAGGAAUUCUUCUGCCACUUUAAAGCCAGGACUCGGCAGCCACAAACAUGAGUGCUAACUUUCAGGGAAGGAUGCUGUACUUGAGCAUUUUCCUUUUACUUAUUAGUGUAGCAUUUUAAACUUUGGUGUAAAACAAUAGUAUUCUAGUAGAUAAUUAAUUUUUCUGAUUUAUUGGAGGUCAAUUUAUUUCAUGCUAAGUUUAGAAUUUUUUGCUUGUUCCAUGAAUGAUCACUUAGAUGUGUGGGUGAAUUUGAGCAUUGAUGAUAUAAUGGCAACUUAGAAUUUUGAAACUCCUGUAUGAAAGGUCCUAAUAUGGCUAGAGGGGGGGUGAAUGGCCUAUUUAAAAAAUCUACAAGGCACUAGAGCAAAGGAUUAAUAUAACAAAAGGCGUAAAGCAAAUUUGCUCUAGCUCUACAAGAGUUGCAAGCCACCUAUAUAAAAAUUCUAGUUGUUAUAAUCACUAGGCACAAGCAAUGACUAAGUCACUAAUCUCUACAACUAGUUACAACUAGUUACUACUAGCCAAAACUAGGAACUACUAGUUACAACUAAUUUGCAAGAAAGUAAAGAGGUGAGUGAUAAUUAUACCGAUAUGUAGAGGAUGAACCAAUCGCAAUGUAUAUCAAUAUAUUCACCGGGAGAAUACCAAUCACAAUAUUGACACUUGUAUUUUUCUCCCGAGGUUCACGUGCUUGCCGACACGCUAGUCCCUGUUGUGUCGACCAACACUUCGUGGUCCGGCGGUUAAUUGGGAUUCCACACCCAAGCUCACCACAAGCACCGCAAGGACCUACCACAAGUGAGGUAGCUCAAAGACACGCGCAAUCCACUAGAGUGGCUUUUGGCACUCCGCCGGGGAAUAAGCCCAAGAACCCCUCACAAAUAUCACCUUGAUUGGGGGCGGACACAAUCACCAAAUCCCCUCAACAAAUCCACAACCGUCUAGGUGACGGCAAUCACCAAGAGUAAUAAGAAAUCCACAAUUGCAAUCACAACCUAGUGCCACAAAUAUGAAUCACAAAUGCAUGAACACUAGGGUUUCCUCAACUCCUCUCACCAAAGAGAACCAACCAUGGGAAUGGAGAGGAGAGGGAGGAGAUCCUCUUGGAGCUCUCAAAUCGAUCUCUAGAGCUUACUCUCUCACUAGAAUGGAGCACAAAUCCUUGGGGGUAAGAGAGGAGGAGGAGAGAGCUUUUCUUUUCUUGGAGUUCUUCAAGAGAGCAAGAAUGGGGAAUGGAUUGAGGAGGAAGAAAGGAAGGGGUGAAACCCGACCUUAUCCUCUGCCAGCCACUCAUCCGACCGUUGCAGCAGCCCAAACUCGCGAGAAAUUCCAGUGCGGGUAGGAAAUAAUUCCAGUCGCACACGCUUUUGACCGUUGGCGUGGGUGAACUAAAGUACCGGAGAAUUUCCAGUGCGGGUAGGAAAUAAUUCCGAUCGACCCCUCUCUGUUGCAAGCACAAACACUAGAAUAUCCAGGUAGGACAGUGAAUAAAUCCGAUUGACCCCUUGCUGUUUGGGCAUGACUACUAGCUCGGUUUUCCAUCUCAAAACCCCUUUUUAAGUUGCUAACUUUCCCACGAAGUACCAAAAACAAUUGAGCACUUAAGUUAGCAUUUUCACAAAUAAAAUUUUUAGGGCUUUCUCAAGUAUUCUCACCACGUCACUAAGCGCAAUGCAUAUGCAAAAGAGACUCACACUUAGUGGCACUAGAUAACCAUUGCAAUUAAAGAUUUCCCCUCUUUAUAGUACGGUUAUCUAUCCUAAAUCCACCCACACCCUCUAAGUGUCUUGAGUGGCAAAACAAAAUGGCCCUAUUAAAAAUACCUUUGCCUUGAGCCCAUUUUGUUUUCUCUUUCUUCUUUUCCAAGUUGGAGCACUUGAAUGUCACCUUUUGGUCAUCUCCAUCACCAUGACCAUCAUCUAGCUCCAUCACUUGGUGUGUACCAACCUAUCUUUUUAUUUCACUCAUGAAAAAGGUUAGUACACAUAGGUUUCAUCAAUUAUCCAAAACCAAACUAGAGCUUUCAAUCUCUCCCUUUUUGAUAAUUGAUGACAACCUCUUCACAAAGAUAUUCAAUAAAACCUUUUAGGUUCAUGUUGCUGGCCCAAGCAUUUUACCAUGUGUAAAGGGUAUGGACAAGUUUCAUAAACUCGAAUUGGUAGCAUUGGCUCCCCCUACAUAUGUGCUAAGAGUUUGGAUUUGAAAGCUUGCACAUAUGCUUUAGAUAGGAGGCAUAGGAGACAAUGGCUACCAAAAGAUGCUAAGGCGUAAAGAAUGGACCUUUGAAGCGCGAUACCAAUCGGAGUUGCCAUUUGAACACCAUCCUUAGCACCAUGGUUAGUUAGAUAGCACUUGCAAACAUAAACACUAGAUACCUCGUGAGAUCAACAUUAUAAACAAGGAUCUAGUACCACUUGUAAAAACGAAACAUGCAAGGAGCAUCUAACUAACAUCCUAUGCAUGCUAGUAAUUUAUUUCAUCAAUCAAUUUUACAACUAGCAAACACCACACAAGCAUGUAUCGGAGAGAAAAAAAAAUUGUGCUAUGCAAACAAGCAUAUGUAAUGCACAUCCAAAUGCAACAUACAAAUUUAUGAUCUUGCUCCCCCUACUUGUGUGCUUUUUAAAAAAAUUGAUCCUCUUCUUUUAGCAAAACCUAUCUUUGUGAAUUACUUCUCCCCCUUUGUCAUCGAUGACCACAAAAGGUGAGCUCAAAUUUUAGAUAGGUUGUGUGAAACCAUGAUAUGUGAGGAUUAGUUUCCCAAAUUUGGUUCAAUCUAGAUUACAUGCCUAAGAUAUUCAACUCGGUUUGAUCCAAUGGCAAGCUUUUUCACACCUCAUUUCAAGGGUUAUCUUGACAAUGUUGAGUUAAACACUUAUAGCUUAUUUUCUAGAUCAAACACUAGGAUUGCAAGCCCACAAACAUGUCAUAUGCUACCACUAGAUCAUUUCAAACAUAGAAGCAAUAGUGGUACCAUACAAUCAUAAAAUUCAUUUUAUUUUCAUAAAUGAGCCUAGGACAUGUGAGGAAUGACUAGAUGCACUAAACAAGUCCUUAGCAAGGGAUGGAUGACAUGUCAAACAAUUUUACCUUGCUUUGCUCGAAGGUGAGGCAUGUCAUAUUGUGGUGGUGCAUCAACACAUAUUUGAGAAGUCAAGUAUGUUCAAUUCAUUUCUCAGCUUGCAAAACCUCUUCUCAUCAAGUGGCUUGGUGAAUAUAUCAGCAAGUUGAUCAUCGGUGCCUAUACUUUCAAUACAAAUGUCCCCUUUUUGUUGGUGAUCUCUUAUGAAGUGAUGGCGGACAUCUAUAUGCUUUGUUCUUGAAUGUUGAACUGGGUUGUUAGUGAGCUUCACUGCACUCUCAUUAUCACAUAGCAAUGGCACUUGUUUGAAUUUGAUUCCAAAAUCAUUUAAAGUAGCCUUCAUCCAAAGUAAUUGAGCACAACAACUACCAGCUGAAAUAUACUCUGCUUCGGCAGUUGAAAGUGCUACACUAUUUUGCUUCUUUGAUGACCAAGAUACAAGUGAUCUUCCCAAUAAUUGACAUGUGCCUGAUGUGCUCUUUCUCUCAACUUUACAUCCCGCAUAAUCAGAGUCAGAAUAACCAAUCAACUCAAAAUUUGCUCCUUUGGGAUACCACAAUCCAACAUUUUGUGUAUGUUUCAAGUACCUCAAUAUUCUUUUUGUUGCCUUCAAAUGACUUUCUCUUGGUGAGGCUUGAAAUCUAGCACACAUGCAUACACUAAACAUCACGUCCGGCCUUGAUGCAGUCACAUAGAGUAGGCUUCCAAUCAUAGACCGAUACAACUUUUGAUCCACCAUGUUGCCACUAGCAUCACUAUCCAAGUUUCCAUUAGUUCCCAUAGGUGUGCUAAUUGACUUUGCAUCAUCCAUGCCAAACUUCUUGAGCAUGUCUUUUAUGUACUUUCCUUGACUUACAAAUGUGCCAUUCUUCAUUUGCUUGAUUUGAAGACCAAGGAAGUAACUAAGCUCUCCAAUCAUGGACAUCUCAAACUCAUUUGCCAUCAUAUUUCCAAAUUCUUUACAAAAUUCUUGAUUGGUUGAUCCAAAUAUAAUGUCAUCAACAUAGAUUUGCAACACAAACAAGUCAUUGCCUAUCUUUUUAGUGAAGAGAGUGGUGUCAACCUUACCCAUAAUAAACCCUUUGGAGAGUAAGAAAUCCCUUAACCUCUCAUACCAUGCUCUAGGUGCUUGUUUUAAACCAUACAAAGCUUUCUUUAACUUGUAAACAUGGUUGGGCUUCUUGUCAUCUUCAAAACCGGGAGGUUGCUCAACAUAAACCAACUCAUUUAUGUACCCAUUCAAGAAUGCACUCUUCACAUCCAUUUGAUAUAACUUGAUGUUGUGAGCACAAGCAUAGGCUAACAAGAUCCUAAUUGCUUCCAAUCUAGCAACCGGGGCAUAUGUUUCACCAAAGUCAAGACCUUCAAUUUGUGUGUAUCCUUGUGCUACCAAUCUUGCUUUGUUCCUUAUCACUAUCCCAUCUUGAUCUUGUUUGUUUCGAAAGACCCAUUUGGUUCCAAUCACAUUAUGAUCCUUAGGCCUCUCUACUAACUCCCAUACUUGAUUUCUAGUAAAAUUGUUUAGCUCUUCAUGCAUAACAUUUACCCAAUCAACAUCUCUCAAUGCUUCUUCUAUCUUCUUUGGUUCAAUGGAUGAUACAAACGAGAAAUGUUCACAAAAUGAUGCCAAUCUUGAUCUAGUUUGCACACCUCUUGAUAUAUCCCCAAUGAUAUGAUCCAAUGGAUGAUCUCUUGCAAUAUUUGUUGGUUGGAGUAUUUGCACUUGAUUGCUUGCACUUGGUUGAUCAUUUGAUUGGGAUGGUGUACUAGCUUCAUGUUGUUGAUCUUGCACUUGAGAUGAUGAACUAGCUUGAUUUUGGUCAUGAGACCCACUAGCUUGCACAUUAGAGGUAGGAAGCACUUGAUCUUUGUCAUCUUCAACAUCAAUUACCUCUCUUGGCCUAAUAUCAUCAAUUUCCAUUCUCUUCAUUGCAUCGGCCAAUUGUGUGCCUCUCACAUCAUCCAAGUUCUCUUCUUCAUCUUGAGAGCCUUGAGUUUCAUCAAAUUCAACAUCAUGCACUUCCUCAAGUUGACCACUUCCCAAAUUCCAUACUCUAUAUGCUUUGCUUGAAGUGGAGUAACCAAGCAAGAAGCCUUCAUCAACUUUCUUGUCAAACUUGCUCAAUCGAGUGCCCUUUCUCAAUAUGUAGCAUUUGCAUCCAAAUACUCGGAAGUAUGAUAUGUUGGGCUUUCUUCCAUUUAAUAUCUCAUAAGGUGUCUUCUCUAGGAAUGGAUGACAAUAGAGUCUAUUGCUAUAGAAGCAUGCCGUGUUGAUUGCUUCGGCCCAAAAUGAAUGACUCACAUUAUACUCAUUUAGCAUUGAUCUUGCCAUAUCAAUUAAAGUUCUAUUUUUCCUUUCGACUAGCCCAUUGGAUUGUGGUGUAUACUUGGCUGAGAAUUGAUGCUUGAUUCCUAACUCAUCACAUAGCUCAUCAACUCUUGUAUUCUUAAACUCACUUCCAUUGUCACUUCUCACUUUCUUGAUUGUGGUCUCAUACUCAUUUUGCAUUCUUUUGAUGAAUAACUUGAAAAUGUCAUAUGCAUCACUCUUGUCACUAAGAAAUGCCACCCAAGUGUAUCUAGUGAAAUCAUCCACAAUCACAAAUCCAUAUUUGUGGCCUCCAAUGCUAGUGUAUAUUGUUGGCCCAAACAAAUCCAUAUGCAUCAGCUCAAAUGGCUUACAAGUACUCACGAUGCUCUUCUUUGGAUGAGUGUUGCCAACUUGCUUUCCGACUUGACAUGCACUACAAAGUUUAUCCUUCUCAAAUGUGACGUCCUUCAAGCCUCUAACUAGAUCAUGCUUCACUAACUUGUUGAGUUGCUUCAUUCCAACAUGACCAAGCCUUCUAUACCAUAGCCAACCCAUGCUUGAUUUCGAGAGCAAGCAUGUUGACAAUUGAGCUUCACUUGUGUUGAAAUCAACAAGAUAGAGAUUGCCAUAUCUAAACCCCUUGAAAGCAACAUUUGAUUCAUCAACACUAACCACUUCAACAUCAUCAACACCAAAUAUACACUUGUAGCCAAGAUCACACAAUUGAGCAAUUGAUAGCAAAUUGAAGUUCAAGCUCUCCACUAGCAUCACACUGGAAAUGGACAUAUCAUUUGAAAUUGCAAUCUUUCCAAGACCAAUCACAUCACCUCUACUAUUGUCACCAAAUGUGAUACUCCUUACACCACCAUCAUUUGGCUUGAUUUCUUGGAACAUUUUUGAUUCACCGGUCAUGUGUUGAGUGCACCCACUAUCAAGAAUCCAAUGCCUUCCUCCGGCUUUGUAAUUUACCUACAAAACAAAUCAAUGUUUCUUAGGUACCCAUACUUGUUUGGGUCCUUGGAGGUUAGUGACUAAGCCUUUUGGUACCCAAAUGGCCUUCUUCUUUGGACCCACAAUUGAUGUACCAACAAACUUAGCAUGCACACCCUUCUCACCCUUGGUAAGCACAUAACAAGAAUCAAAAGAAAUGUAAGAUACAUUAGCAUUUUUCUUGUUCUUGUUCAUUUUAUUGCAAUUAAGCUCUAGGUGCCCAACUUGCUUGCAUCUAUUGCAAUAACGACCAUUACUCUUCACAAAGCUAGGCUUGUGAGUUGCAAAGGCCGUCUUGCCUUCCUUGGGGGUGUAGCCUAAUCCCUCUUUGUUGAGAGAAAAGCGUUGGCUACCCAAGCACUUAAGCAAGCGGGCCUCACCGCCAUAAGCCUUGCCUAGAGCGUGAGUAAGCUCAUCCACCUCCCUCUUGAGGGUCUCAUUCUCAAUCAUGAGGGAUGCAUCACAAGUGAAACCAUCACUCAUACUUGAGCUUGAGUCGGUUGUGGUGGAUGAAGAGCUACAAGAAGGGUUAGCUUGUGAUAUAACAAUAGGUUUAUAAAAAGAUUCAUCUACAAUAUCACAAGUUAGUCCAAUGCUUCUUGUCUCCUUCACGUCCUCCACCUUUGCUUGAUCAAGAAGAAUAGAGUGAGCUUUUGCAAGCUUGGUGUGAGCAUUCUCAAGUUCCUCAUGGUCUUCCUUUAGACACUCAUGAGACGCUUGGAGCUCCCUAAGGGACUUCUCAAGAUCUUGGACUUUCUUGAGUAAGCCCUUACACUCCUUUCUCUUCUUUUGGAAGCCUUCAUUUAGUUGCUCACACAUGUCCAUGAGCUCCUCCUUGGAAGGGUCCUCAUCAUCAUCACUACAAGAGUCAUCAUCAUCACAUGCAUCAUCAUUAUAUGUUACCUUGGUGGCCUUAGCCAUGAGGCAUGUUGAUGUAGCAUCAUCAAAGAGAGAUUGUUUGUUGGAAAUAGCAGCACCACCGAAAGCCUUCUUCAUGGCCUCCAACUCCUUCUCAUCAUCACUAACUUCAUCAUCAUCGGCAUCACUAUCCCACGUGACAAUAUAGCCACCACCCUUCUUGUUCUUCUUGAAGCUCAUCUUCUUGGACUUCUUCUCCUUCCUCUCAUUCUUUUCCUUCUUCUUGUUGUUGUCAUCAUCAUCAUCAUCAAGAUGUGGACAAUUUGCCACCACAUGAUCGGGGCUCUUGCAUUUGAAGCAAAGUCUUCCAUUGCCAUUGCCUUUGGUGAAGUCUCUUCUCUUUCUUGCACCAUAGCCCUUCUUCUUCAUGAACUUACCCAUCUUGCGGACUAGAAGUGCCAUAGCCUCAUCAUCACUAUCCAUUUCUUCUCACUUGACUCUUCUUUCUUGCUCUUGGAGGAGGAUGAAGCCUUGAAUGCCAUACUCUUCUCUUUCUUGUCAUUCUUUUCCCUCUUGUCCUCUUCUCCUUCACUAAGAUCAUCAUUGUAUUGAGCAUCGGUCAUUAUGUCACCAAGCACUUCAUUUGGAGUCACCUUGCUCAAUCCUUCUCUAAAGAUCAUUCUUCUCAAAGUAGAGAAUCUCUUUGGCAAGCACAUGAGGAACUUAUGUGAGAAGUCCUCGUCCUUCACUUUCUCUCCAAGGUUCUUAAGAUCAUUGACUAUCACUUGGAGUCUAUAGAACAUUUCAGGAAUGGACUCAUCUUUUUCCAUCUUGAAGUUGAAUAGCUUGUCCUUGAGCAUGUACAACUUGGCACUCUUGACAUUUUGGUUGCCCUCAUAUAUCUCAAUCAAUCUUUGCCACACUUCACUUGCUUUCUCAAGAUCUUUGAUUUGUUCAAACACUUUUGAAUCAAUCCCUUGAUAUAUGGCAUUUAGAGCGGCAUUAUUGCAUUGUUGGUUGAUUUCAUCCUUGUCAGUGAGAUUAUCGGGAUCAAGGAUAACAAAGUCAUUAUUGGUCACAUUCCACACUUUGGUAUGAAUGGUACCAAGGUGCAUCUUCAUCUUUCUCUUCCAUUGAUCAAAAGAUGUGGUGCCAUCAAACAUUGGUGGUUUGCCCCCAACAUGGUUGAACACAACAUGAGCCAUAAUUUGCACACCGAGGUUGUUAAGCCUUCACUAAACGGUGACCACGGCUCCGAUACCACUUGAAAGGUCCUAAUAUGGCUAGAGGGGGGUGAAUAGCCUAUUUAAAAAAUCUACAAGGCACUAGAGCAAAGGAUUAAUAUAACAAAAGGCGUAAAGCAAAUUUGCUCUAGCUCUACAAGAGUUGCAAGUCACCUAUAUAAAAAUUCUAGUUGUUAUAAUCACUAGGCACAAGCAAUGACUAAGUCACUAAUCUCUACAACUAGUUACUACUAGCCAAAACUAGGAACUACUAGUUACAACUAAUUUGCAAGAAAGUAAAGAGGUGAGUGAUAAUUAUACCGAUAUGUAGAGGAUGAACCAAUCACAAUGUAUAUCAAUAUAUUCACCGGGAGAAUACCAAUCACAAUAUUGACACUUGUAUUUUUCUCCCGAGGUUCACGUGCUUGCCGACACGCUAGUCCCCGUUGUGUCGACCAACACUUCGUGGUCCGGCGGUUAAUUGGGAUUCCACACCCAAGCUCACCACAAGCACCGCAAGGACCUACCACAAGUGAGGUAGUUCAAAGACACGCGCAAUCCACUAGAGUGGCUUUUGGCACUCCGCCGGGGAAUAAGCCCAAGAACCCCUCACAAAUAUCACCUUGAUUGGGGGCAGACACAAUCACCAAAUCCCCUCACCAAUCAACAAAUCCACAACCGUCUAGGUGACGGCAAUCACCAAGAGUAAUAAGAAAUCCACAAUUGCAAUCACAACCUAGUGCCACAAAUAUGAAUCACAAAUGCAUGAACACUAGGGUUUUCUCAACUCCUCUCACCAAAGAGAACCAACCAUGGGAAUGGAGAGGAGAGGGAGGAGAUCCUCUUGGAGCUCUCAAAUCGAUCUCUAGAGCUUACUCUCUCACUAGAAUGGAGCAAAAAUCCUUGGGGGUGAGAGAGGAGGAGGAGAGAGCUUUUCUUUUCUUGGAGUUCUUCAAGAGAGCAAGAAUGGGGAAUGGAUUGAGGAGGAAGAAAGGAAGGGGUGAAACCCGACCUUAUCCUCUGCCAGCCACUCAUCCGACCGUUGCAGCAGCCCAAACUCGCGAGAAAUUCCAGUGCGGGUAGGAAAUAAUUCCAGGCGCACACGCUUUUGACCGUUGGCGUGGGUGAACUAAAGUAUCGGAGAAUUUCCAGUGCGGGUAGGAAAUAAUUCCGAUCGACCCCUCUCUGUUGCAAGCACAAACACUAGAAUAUCCAGGUAGGGCAGUGAAUAAAUCCGAUCGACCCCUUGCUGUUUGGGCAUGACUACUAGCUCGGUUUUCCAUCUCAAAACCUCUUUUUAAGUUGCUAACUUUCCCACGAAGUACCAAAAACAAUUGAGCACUUAAGUUAGCAUUUUCACAAAUAAUUUUUAGGGCUUUCUCAAGUAUUCUCACCACGUCACUAAGCGCAAUGCAUAUGCAAAAGAGACUCACACUUAGUGGCACUAGAUAACCAUUGCAAUUAAAGAUUUCCCCUCUUUAUAGUACGGUUAUCUAUCCUAAAUCCACCCACACCCUCUAAGUGUCUUGAGUGGCAAAACAAAAUGGCCCUAUUAAAAAUACCUUUGCCUUGAGCCCAUUUUGUUUUCUCUUUCUUCUUUUCCAAGUUGGAGCACUUGAAUGUCACCUUUUGGUCAUCUCCAUCACAAUGACCAUCAUCUAGCUCCAUCACUUGGUGUGUACCAACCUAUCUUUUUAUUUCACUCAUGAAAAAAGUUAGUACACAUAGGUUUCAUCAAUUAUCCAAAACCAAACUAGGGCUUUCACCGUAUCAACAUACGGACAAAUACUAUUUAUAUAUGUACUCGAACUUGUAAUGAUGGUAUGAAGAUAGGGUAAAAUUUAUUUAUGGAUUUAUUGGCAUAUGAAAAAAUGGAUAUCAGAUAAUUCAUCCUGCUGAUAUAAAACACCAUCUUAGCCGCAUCACGGAAAGGUCUGUACAAUAUAGUUUGUGAGCCUGCGACGCCGGGCUCUCCUUGACUAUGUUAACUUUAUGAAUUUUACUUUUUUGAUUAAGUGUCACUUUAAUGUUGGUAUUUAAUUUCAUAGUAUUGUUAUCUUAUCGUACGUUCUGUGUGUUUUUAGUAUACAACUUUACUUGUCCCGUAGCAACGCACGGGUAUGCUACCUAGUGCUAAUAUCAUAUUUAAACAUGAAAAUGGUUCCUAGAUCCAUAACAUAAAUUACAAAAAUACCCAAAGUGCAUUAAUCCAAAGCAUAAUUAAUAUUAUGUAACUAGUUGGAAAACAUAAUAUUCUAUGUUGUCAAAGCAACAAAUAAACAAAACUGACAAGGCUUAUUCUCAAAAUCCAAUACGUAGGUAACGUCAUGCUGAUGUCGGAUAAAAUAGAAUGAUAAGUCCUCUUCUUAUACUCACACCAUGGCCACCUCCUACUAGUAGCAUUGAGUAUUUACCUUGGAGCCUCCUGCAACAAACCAACAUGUAGUGUUUAGUACAUGCUUAUUCAACAAAACAAGCUAUGGAACAAUCAAUUACACAAGUAAAAUUAAUACCACAAAAGCGUCAAGAGACAAUUAGCGAAAAAGGUACCAUUAAACAACCUGAAUCAAUUCACUGUGUUCUAGUCAUGUCACAACAGGAACUUGCUUUUGUAUCAGGCAAAUGCCAGUUAGCAAGGAAAGGGAGAAGAUCAGAAGAUUACUAGUGUCACACUUACAUCCCUUGUCUAAAUUGAAAAGUGAAAUAAAUAGAGGAACUACUACAAUUCACGAGGAAAAUUAUGUUAAGAACCAUACUGAACUCAGAGCUAGUCAGUGAGUUAUUUACUAGUAUAUUAAGUUACUAACUAUACAAGCGUCCAUUCAAAACUCAACAGAAGUUAGUAAUUUGUCUGUUUCAAGUAUAACUUCACUAAACACAACGCUAAUAACUAAUUCAUAAUGAUAGUAAGAGCAUGUAUAUGAACCGAAAAUACACUGUUAGUUGAUAAACAAUUAGGCCAGCCAUCCAUUUCAAUCCUUUAGGGUGUGUUUGGCAAUUACAUGGGAAGAGGAUAGGAAUUAGUGGUCGGAGUUGAUAGAGGAAAUUAAGGUAGGAAUUAGGGUGUGUUUGGUAUGGGGGUUUUGAGGGGGGGAAUAAAACCACAAAUCAUGAUGGACGGUGAAGAUCUAUUUUUCUUUUAUUUAAGAAUACAAUUCUCACCCAAUUACCAUCCCUCCUGUAGGGAAUUGAUUAGUGGAAGUUGGCGCUCUAAAUUCCCCUUUCCCUUCCGACUAAAACUCCCAUUCCCUCAAAACAAACAAAAGAUUUCAAAACUCUUGUCUCUGAACUCCCAUUCUCUACUUUCAGUUACCCCAACCAAAUGAGCCCUUAGUCCCAAACAACUCAUAUAACUAGCAACAUACUUUCUUUUAAAUACCACAAGAAAAUCUUAAUCUUUAGUGGCACCUCCAUACGCCAAAUUUUCUGCGACACUUUAACCCAUUAUUGACAAGAAAGUUGUACAUUGACUUAACAGAGAACACUCCAUUUUUAUGUAACCGCCAUAAGUUUUCCCUAUGAGAAGUUCUAGUCUUUUUUUCCUAUAGUUAUUGAUUUGUUGUUAGAGGUUGGUUUUCAUAAUAUUAAACUCUAUAUCUCUUUUGAUGGUUGCAUGUUGUAUGCUAGAGGCAAGAACAUGCAAUCAAUGGCAAAUGUACAAUGGAAGGUAUGAAGCAUUGUCACAUAAGAAUUUGUUCUUUCACUUGCAUAGAAAUAGUUUUUCUUUGCCUCUGGAUGUAAGUGAUUGCAAAACUUUCAAAACCAUUGGACAAUUGAUUUGCAUAACAAAUUACAACCUCUUAUGUGUAGGCCAAUGCUUCAUCGAGUGCUAACUCACAAGCUGAAGGUAGAGAAUGACACUUCUGACAUUAGAAAUAAUACAACAGUUGAUAAUAAUACUUCAUGGAUCGAGACUGGACUUAACUACAUUAUUAGUUAUGUACUUAUAAAUUAUUGGUACACAACUUCCUUCCCACCAUAAAAUUAAUAAAUGCACGUAUAUAUACCCAUAUAAGACAACAAAAAAAUUGCAUACCAAUCAUUAUUGAUGCCAUCUAAGUAAAAAACCAAAAAAAAAAAAGAGUACAAUGCAAGCAUGGCAAUACUGAGUUACUAACCUCAUUAGUUCUCACCAUGAUGUAGGCUCAAGAAGCUUCCAGUAUGCACACUAAUUCGAGAGGAAUGCCUUAGCAUCAUCAAACUCGCGAAUGUACUUGUUCUUGGGUCAUAAAUCUGCAGCAAUCCCAUGGAUCUAAUAACCGUGACAAUCCUGCCGUCCUCUAACACCAACAAAGGAUGCAUCGGCGAAAUGUGUCCAGAACGCUCAAUCUGCACACUGUACUGUUUGACCCAAAGGUCUUCCUCAGAAUCCUUCAGGAACCACAGGUCCAUGACGCGGCUUGACUCCUGAACAAUGACCAAGGAACCAUUCAGGUUGGCCAAUGUAACAUACAAAUUGUGCCGGCCGCCAUGAACGAGGCCUCUGGGUCCCUUGACGCUCGGCCUCCAUUGCUCCGCCUCGAGAUCGAACCGGACUAUCCAUCCUCGCUCAUCGGCACGGCGAUUCACGACGGCGAAAUACGCCGCCACGCUCAAGCAGUAGACCACCCCACCGACCACCACCCUGGUCCAUUCAUUCCACACGAAAGACCUCGGAGGUCCAUGCAUUCCCCUCCACCGUGCACUUCUGCUGAGGGUGCAGACCUCGAACAGGUCGUCACGGUCACCGCCGCCGCCGCCGCCGCCACACCGUCGUCGAAAGGGAAGCAUCCGCAGCACCUUGAGUUCGCCUGUUCCGGCGACCUGCCCAAACAUGAACACGGGCUCCCCAUAGUCGCGCAGGCUGAACCCGCGCGCCGCGUGGUCCCGUGCAAGCUCGCCUGACAAGUGGUGCACGGCGCCGGUGACCGGGUCGAGCAACCGGAAGCUGCCGCCGUCGAUCGUCUUGACGACGCAGACGAGACCGGCCGAACCGGAGCACGCCGCGACGCUCACGACCACGUCGCUCGCGUGCCCCGCCGCCACGUGCCUGACGAUCUGCCCCGACGACAUGUCCAGGACGUCGACGAGGCUGUCGCGGUCCAGGUCCACGUGGUCGACGUAGGACGCCACGACGUACGGCUCCCGGCGGCGCGCGGCGUGGGCGGCGGCGAACCACGGCGCGGUGAGGAGGGUCCGCCACGCCCGGCACACGGUCCGCAGCCGGCAGAGCUGCUUGCCCCGGAGACGCAGCAGGAUCUCGCACAGCGCGUCCAAGGGCAGAGCGCCCGCGGCGGCGGGAGUGGCGGGCGCGGCGGGAAGCCUGCGACGUUGCUGUGUGUCGCGUGGCUCCGGCGAGGACAUGCUGGAUACACGAUCGAUGGAUCUUCGACGUGCAGGCUGCAGAGGUUAGAUCGUAUUCUACAGUUAGCUAGCGCGAUCGAGAAGGCGCCGUUGCGAGGGCGGAAGAGGGCACAUACCCACCCACCACGCGGGGACGCCGUCGCCGGAAACACUGUCGGCGGCAGGGAGCGCGCGGCGAAGACGAGGAGCGGGUCGCCGAGGGAGUUGGGGCCUAGCCUAUGGCGUCCAGCCGAGGGUAGUCGAAAGGCGGCGCGGUGAGAAUCUGGGACGGAACUGCCGCCGAAUCUCCCUCUCCGCCUCUCGUGUACUAGCAUCUUUGUGCUGACGAAGCAACGGAAAAAAAUGGACCUUUUUUUUUGAAAGAGGAAAAAAAAAUGGACAUUGUGGACGUUUUCGGGCUUCUUCGAAUAUAGACGGCCCACGGUAGGGCUCAUGCUGGGCCGGCGUUGGCCCAAAAAAAGGCUUUGGAAAAAAAAAACACGCCUAAACUGUAGUGACGUUGUUUUCCUUCAAAAACGUAGUCAUAUACCGUACAUCAUAGAGCAUAGUUCAACGUGGAAUGCAGUUCCUAUUUUAUUUGGAAAAAGUCUAUAUAACCCCCCCCCAAACUAUCUGGGGUGGACUACUUUAUCCUCCGAACUAUAAAACCAGAUAUUCUACCCCCUGAACUUUUCAAAACCAGUCAAUUAAACCCCUUGAUCGGUUUUGGAGGGUGGUUUUGUCUUUUGCUUUUUUAUUUAUUUUCGUUGAAUCUUUGAAAAAUCAUAGAAAAAACAUAAAAUGAAAAAAACUAAUUUUGUUGGACUCUGCAUGUGUAGAUCUACACAGUGAACAUAUAAUUUGAUAUGCUUUAGUACAAAGUUUUUGCUAUAGCUUUAAAUCUAUGUUUUUCUGUAAUUAAUUAGAAUUAUUCAUAUAUGCAGUUUUUUUUGAUGAGCUAAUUAUUGUAUGGUUAAAGUAUAGUAAAAAAUUUGUACCCAUUGGAUCAAAUAUAACUUAGUUAUAGUUUUAUUUAGCUUAAUUCUUGUUAAAUCUAUGCUUUAUCUAUAACUAAGUUAUACGUGAUCUAAUGAGUAUGAAAUUUUUACUAUUGUUCAAGCAUACAAUAAUAAGCCCACCAUAAAAUUUUCACCACAAUUGGACCUUAGAAACUACAUAUAUAAAUUAUUCUAAUUACUUACAGAAAAACAUAGAUUUAAAGCUAUAGCAAAAACUUUGCACUAAAAUAUACUAUAUUAUAUAUUCACUAUGUAGAUCUACUCAUCGGGAGUCCAACAAAAUUAGAUUUUUUAUUUUAUGCUUUUUUAUGAUUUAUUAUAAAUUUUCAAAUAUUCAGCGGAAAUAAAUAAAAAAGAAAAAGACAAAACCACCCUUCAAAACCACACAAGGGGGUUAUUUGACCGGUUUUGAAAGUUCAGGUGAUAGAAUAUUCGGUUUUAUAAUUAGGAGGAUAAAGUGGACUACACUGGAUAAUUGAGUGGGUUAUGUAGACUUUUUCCUAUUUAAUUUUAUACCAGCAAAUAGGCCCGCGCAUUGCAACGGGAGGAAAUCUAAAUAUUCAUAGAAAACAACGACAGAAUAGGAUAUAUCUAUUUAUGUUUGACCAUUUUUAUAAAAUUUAAAAGCUAUAUUUUAUUUAUGAUGGCCAUGACAUCCCAAUAAUAAGAUAAUGUCCAACUUAGGUGUAUCAAAACAAAAUACAACAUUGAUAAAAGAAUUUAUUCUUUUUAGAAAUAUUCGCUCACAAAUAUAUCAUAAGUUUAUUUUUAUACUAUUGAACUAUUUGAUUAUUAGACCAUUGAUUGAUCCAUUUGCUCACAUGGAGACGGAGUCAAGAGAUCCAAACACACCUUACGGGACCAAUUGCCGCCUAGCAAAAGUGUCCAUACGUUGCAAGGGAGUCGUUAGCAAUUUCUAACUUCUAUCUGACUCGCCUUUCACACUUAGUAAUGGUGGCCUCGACCUCGUUAUACGGUAGAUGGGUCAUGGGGAUAACAACAACGUAGUUGGCUGAGCUCCAAACAACAUGCAGUGCCAUAGUAAUCAUAAAAUAAAUUAGUUAUGAAGUCUUAUAAAAAUAAUAAAACAUAAUUAACAAAAAUAUAAUAUUUAUAUUAUUGUUUGCUAUAUGUUUAGUAGUUUUUUCUUGUACAACAUACGGACAUAUUUGCUAGUCUUAACUACAUCAACAACUUAGCAAUGAAAAAGGUUGAUUGCAGUUAUUAUUUAUUUCAUAUAUUUAGGAGAUAAAAUAUAUAUAUGACACGGUAAAAUAGAAAAAGAAAUAGGGUACAAAACUGGACUCCGUGUAGAAGCAUAAGAAAAAAAACAAAUCUACACAAAAAGAUCGGACAUGAUGUGCUAAAAGGAAAAAUGUAACAAUCGUAUUAGAAAAAUAAAGAAAUAGUGAUGGACGUGAUGGACUCUAGAUUGCAGACUUAUCUAAAAAAAGGAAUAGUAUAGGAGGAAAAUAUGUAUUUGGCAGCUUAUGAUUCCGGAUCACAUAUAUAACCCAAUAUAUUUUGAAUCGGAUUUUGUAUCGUGCUAGAUAAAAGCUAUUCUAACACAAGAUACGGAAUAUGAACGUGAUUGCCUGGGUAUUGACAGAUGCUUUAUUAUUGCCAGACAGAAAAUACCUGGUUCUUUAUUAUUGCCGGAUAGAAAAAUAUUUGGUGAACUGAAAUUUUCACAAUUAUAUAUUAGAAAAAGAUAAAAAGAACUAUUCAUUUCAACGUAUUUUCAAAUAUAAAUGGUAGCGGCUGCAGCAGUAUAGUGAUACGGGCACACGGUCCAAGAUUUGUUGGUGGAAAUUCAGAGUAUGUUAGCUUAGUUGAUAAACUAUGACAGAAAAUAUUGUUGGUUCUAUUAUGAGAGAAAAAUAUUGCUGAAUGGAUAGCAGAUUCAGCUGAUAAGUUCAAGUAGACAGUUUUCCAUCUCGAAUGAAGUCGACUUUGAGCUGUUUGAUAAAUACCCAACCACAUACUCCUAGGCAUUUGCAUGGAUUGCUACAGGUCCUGAUCAUCGACCUAUAAUUAUUACAGCUUGUUGCAACUAGCCCACUUGUGAGCGUUGGAUUUGAUUGAUUGCAGAAUGCAACCGCUAGAAGAUGCCAUGGCGUGUCAUCAAUCAAUUGAACUAAUGUCAUAACUGUGACCGUUUCUGGUUCAGGCCCAGCUGACAGCUUGAUCCAUUUCCAUCGGAACAGUUGGCUGAAUAGCCAGUUUGUUUGUCCCUGCCCGUGCCAGCUCCUCCAUGGCCAUGGCGACCCGAACGGCGAGCUCGAAGCAGCCAUCUCAGGCCUCGUUUACAUCUAUUUUUUUUAUUUUAAUACUGUAGUACUUUAUUUUUAUUUGACAAAUAUUUUUCAAUCAUAGAGUAACUAGACUUAAAAGAUUCGUCUCGCGAUAUACAGAUAAAUUAUAUAAUUAGUUUUUAUUUUCAUUUAUAUUUAAUACUCCAUACAUAUGCGGAUAUGCCACAAGAUUCAAUGUGACGGGGAAUCUUGAAAAGUUUUUUGUUUUUAGUUUUUUGGAUGAACUAAGGCCUUGUUUACUUCCACCCUAAAACACAAAAUUUUUCAAGAUUUCCCGUCACAUCGAAUCUUUAGACGCAUACCUGGAGUAUUAAAUAUAAAUAAAAAUAAAAACUAAUUGCACAGUUUGGUCGAAAUUUACGAGACAAAUCUUUUGAGUCUAGCUAAUCCAUGGUUGGACAAUAAUUACCAUAAACAAAUAAAACUGCUACAGUGAAUUUUUUUUCCUUUGCCAACUAAAUACGGUUAUACGGCCUAAACAAAACCCUCAGUAAUUAAACGUACAUUCUCCAAAAGUUAGCCGGUCAUCCGGUGCUCCGUUCCUUUCUGCGCUGCUGCGCUGUGCUGUGUGCGCUCGCCGCCGUCGUCGUGGCGUCGCUAGUAGUUCCCCGUGUCGUCUCGAUCGAUUUGCCUGACGAUGUGCCGUAGCCCAUAAGUCGUUGAGAAACCUCCACACGCGCGUCGUCAUCCUCCGCCGCAUAUCCGCGGACACGAGACCAGAGAACAGUGUCGUCGGCCGGUGCUAGCUCAUCGGGUCGCGAUGGUAUAAUAUAAUGGAUUCUUUGCCCUCGCUCUUCCACCGGUUCAUGAGUGAUUCUAGUGAAAAAUAUAAUUAAGAAAUAUUUAGCCAAUCAGAUGGACUAUUUAAAGAUCCGAGCAAUUUUAUUUUAUGUUUUUUUUUAAAAAAAAAACAGUGCCCAGUUAUUGUUAAUAAUAUAUAUAUAUUGAGCAUUACAACAGUAGGUACAUGAACAAAUGCAUCAAGAAUUUUUGUUUUUAAUCAGCAUAAUAGACAACUCUUUUUGUGUAUGUGUUUUUGAAAAAUGCCAAAUACGUGAUGAAGUUAGGAAAAAUAGUCAAUAUCGAAGUCUUUGACCCAUCAAUCAAGGAGUCAAUCUUAGAAGUAGAUAUUAUCCAGAGAAAAAUAUAUAAUUUUUUUGAAGGUUCACUGUCAAAAUAUCUCGCAGAUGUUAUGAGAACCGGAUGCGCCGUAACAUAUACGGAUGUCAGUAAUGACGGAAUAAUUAAGAACAAAUCUAAUGACCACAUCUAGGCAACGUGGGCUGUGUCUAGUAGUACGUAUAUUGUCUUUUUCUAGAAUGUAGGCUACUUCAAUUUUGCCACGAAUAUUCAUUAAUUUUGAUUUGACUAGGUUCGUACAAAUAUGUCUUAGUAGUAUAUAGUAUUUUUUAAGAUAAAUUUAUUCAUAUAGUUUUUAUAUUUUCAAAUUCAAUAACUUUUCAUAAUUUAUAUUUUUAAUGUUUGACUCAAAUCUUAUCUAAAACAACUUUCUUUAUACAUACGGAGGGAGUGAGUACAGGAGUUGAAGUUUGAACCCAUGCAUGUGUUACUGAGCUUCCAAAAAAUUUUAAUGUUAAGAUUGACCAAUUUGAUCUUAAAAAAACUCUCUUUGUCUAGGGAAAAAUGCAAUUAUGGGAUCUAUGUCAGUCAAAGUAACUCAAACUUAAUCAAGUUUAUAGUAAAUAUAACAUUUAUGUCUCCAAAUAAAUUCUAUUAUAAAAAUAUAUUCUAUAACUAAUUUAAUGGUACUUAAAUUAUAUCAUGAAUGAUAGUAAUUUUUAUAUAAAUUUAGUCAAAGUUUAAACGAUUUGACUUCUCGAAAAAUGAGAAUUACAUUCUUUCCUAGACGGAGGGAGUACAUGCAUAAUACUCCAUCCAUAUUGGCAAUUCAAGUCGUCUCACACAGUGACAUAGAAUUCAAAGCAUAACUUUGACUUCUUAUUUUUAUAAAAAUAUUUAUUAAAAAGUGACAUAUAUAUUUUUAUGAAAGCACUUUUAAGACAAAUCUAUUCAUAUGCAUGGUUUUCAUAUUUCUAAACUCAACAACUUAAAAUUUAUUCAUGAUUUAUAUUCUCAAUAUUUCAUCCAAGUCUUAUCCAAAACGACUUGAAUUACCGUUAUGAAGUGAAUAAGUACUAGUAGUUAUGUAAUAUAUUAUCAUGGUAAAUUCAUUGGGAGAUAUAAAUAUUCAUGCUAAAAUUAAGCGCCUAGUGGGCGAUCCUUGCCCGGUUCUAAACUCCAUGGAGCCGGAUCGAUAGACUGUGAGCAUUGGUCCUAUAGGAUAGAAACAGAGAACCAGGUGCUAUGCAUGGGAGCGGGUCGUAGAGCAUCCGCAAUGUAUAGAUUCAACCCCAAUUCUAUAUAAUGAUUUGACACCACUUAUUAAAAUUGAUCACAAUAUAUAGAAUCAGCCUUGAAUCUAUAAAUGGGACCUACGAGAAUAAAAAUCUAUCACUCGAGAGAGGGAGCAGGGAGAGAAAAAGGAACAUAGUAGCUCAUUCUUCAGCCAUCACUUAGUAUCUAUUUUUUUUAUUCGAUCGGAGCCGGUUCCAUAUAUGACACCUGGUCCUUCAUCGAUCCAACUGCGCAAUGUAUAGGACUUGAUUCUAUAGCAGCAAUAAAUGUAUCAAACCGGGUAAAAUGCAACCACUGCGGAGACCCUAAAAAAUUGUUCUUUCUCUCCAUGGGCGGAUUUAGGGGUAUUCCCCUGUAUUCCUAGGAAUACCCAAAUAUUUUGGUACACUUUUAUAUAAAUAUGUAUAUAUACUUAUAUAUAUAUAUAGGUACAAUGCUAUAAUAUAUAGUAUUUUCGCACUUUUGAGCUCAAAACAUGUAAAAAAACUGGCAUUUUCAAUUAGAAAUCUAUAUUCUAGAAAGCAAAUUUUGGUUUAAAUUUGCUGACUUGUAGUGCAAUUAGCUAUAUUUUAAGCCUAUGGAUUCGACUUUAUGAAAAUGGAAAUGCCCAAGUUUCAAAUCCUGACUCCGCCACUGCUUCUCUCCUGCCCUUUUCUCUCUCUCUCUGUUCCAUUGCCGCUGCCAGGGGUAAAAAAAUACCACUAACUAGAUUGUUUUUCACUAUAUAUAUUUAUCAAAUUAUGUAUGUUUUCUUAGUAGUAUAUCAUCUUAAAUUUAGAGUUGGCUUCACCCUCGGCUCUUGUUGCACACUUUUCCUCUACCACUGCAGUACACUGGUUGAAUUCUCCUCUACCACUGUAAUAUCUCGAAAGUACUGUUGGCUGAUUUGUCGUGAGUUGACAGAUUCGGCUGAUAAGCUCAAACGAACAAGGAAACGCCCUAAGUCAAACGUCACAGGAACACGUCUAGUUGAGUCCAACGCUACAGUUGUAUGGAAUGGAAUGGAACGCAACAAGGCGGGGAAGAAAACGAUCGUGCGUCCCUUUCGUAGUACCGUCACGGGAUAUUUUGAUCCCAAGCAAUCCGCACAAGCAAGGGGCGGUUUAUGGCACCUGUACAGGCAUUACAGCAGCCCCCACCUCCCCCCUGUCACGUUGCCGGGCUACAAGACGAGCACAGAACAACCCGUCAGACGAUCGGUUACCAGACUGCCACAGUUGCCUCUGUUGGCUAGGCUUUGUUUAGUUCAUCCCAAAACCAAAAACUACAGAAAAUUAAAAUUUUUUAAACUUAGUUAGUUUAUGAUUAAAUAAUAAUUACUAAAUAAAAAUAAAAAUACUACAAUAUCUAAAACUAAAAAGAUUUUAGGGUCUUGACGGCUUGACGACGCCCUAAAACCAGUGGCGGACAAAUGCAAAGCUGUAGCGGAUCAUGGGAGGUCCGGCACCCUCCGAAACGCCCAAACCUCACACUGCUCUGUUGCUGCAUGUAUCCGUCUCUUUGAUAUCCUGUCGGUUUUGAUUGAUUAACAUGCAUGCAUGCAGGGGCGAAGCCAGUGACAAAAUAACCCUGGUGCACAGCUCAAAUGACAUAUAUAACUCUCUUGAAAUAUAUGGUAAAUUUGAAGUUGUUUAGUAGUAAAAUAUUUUUUACCCUGGUGCCUAGGCACUCGGCAAGCUGAACCUGGCGUCGCCCCUGCAUGCAUGAGUGCAUGAUCGACCACGAAAAUUAAACCUUAUCUUUUUUUUUCCCCUUGAGAUCGAAGGAGUGAUUCAAUCACCAAGUCGGAUUUCCGGUGAUAUAUUCUCUUUUUUUUAUUCGGGUUUGAGGAUAAGGACAGAAGACAAGACCCAAAAAGAAAUGUGUAUAUCACAACUCAGUUUCAACAGCCAUCUUUUUUGUGUGUGCAAAUACUUGCAGAGAGCGACGCUUCUUAGGUCUUGUUUAGUUUGUCACCUAAAAACUUUUCACCCAUCACAUUAAAUAUUCGGUCAUAACUGUUGCACAUAUACUAAUAAUGGAUUAAUUAGUCUUAAUAAAUUCAUAUCCGAGUUUCUAUAUCAGACGAGCUAUGUAAUUUGUUUUUUUAUUAGUCUAUAUGAAACAUGUACCGACAUAUUUGAUGUGACACCUAAUUUUUUGUUUCAUUUUAUGAACUAAACAAGACCUUAAUUAAUCACCGAGUAUACUACUAUCACCAGAGCAUCCAUCCAUAAGGCUUGUCCCUCGCCGUCGGCAUAUGAACAGAGGCAAAAUAAGCAGCGAAUCAGCACUCAACGUAACGGCCGCCGUCGAUCCACGCACGUCACCACCGCUACAUCACUUGCGUCACGCCGCACCCGGCCGACCGGUGCUCCCACGGCACCCGUCCCGCCGGAGCCCAUAGGCGACAGCCACACGUCCGCGUCCGGCCGGUCCGCCCGCAACCAACUCCCGGCCGGGUCCCGCGCACCGGCACCGCCGCGCGCUCACACCCUCUAUAUUCCGCACCCCGCCCGCCUCUCGCCAUAGCCAUAUCGAUCCCUCCCGGCACAGCCGCAGCCCAAGCAAGUUCCCAACGCCCCAACCCAGCCCUUUGCAACUCCGAUCCGUUCCGGUCCUCGAUCUCUGCCAGCAGCUCCGGCGGCCGUCGGCGGCGGCGGGGCGCCAUGGAUUCGAGGAGGGUCGUCUUGGCUGUGUCCGCCAUGGCGGCGGCGCUGAUGGUGGUGCUGUCGGCGCCGGCGGGGGUGGGCGGCGACUUCGCGGCGGACCGUGCGGAGUGCUCGGACAAGCUGGUGGGGCUGGCGACGUGCCUGACUUACGUGCAGGAGGAUGCGACGGCGGCGGCGCCGACGCCCGACUGCUGCGCGGGGCUGGAGACGGUGCUGCAGAGCAGCCGCAAGUGCCUGUGCGUGCUGGUCAAGGACAGGGACGACCCAAACCUGGGGCUCAAGAUCAACGUCACCAAGGCGCUCCGCCUCCCCGCCGUCUGCAACGCCCCCGC